rnacentral:rRNA from 1 species
GAACGGAAAGGCCCUGCUUGCAGGGUACUCGAGUGGCGAACGGGUGAGUAACACGUGGGUGAUCUGCCCUGCACUUCGGGAUAAGCUUGGGAAACUGGGUCUAAUACCGGAUAGGAACCAUCUUUAGUGUGGUGGUUGGAAAGUUUUUUCGGUGUAGGAUGAGCUCGCGGCCUAUCAGCUUGUUGGUGGGGUAAUGGCCUACCAAGGCGGCGACGGGUAGCCGGCCUGAGAGGGUGUACGGCCACAUUGGGACUGAGAUACGGCCCAGACUCCUACGGGAGGCAGCAGUGGGGAAUAUUGCACAAUGGGCGCAAGCCUGAUGCAGCGACGCCGCGUGGGGGAUGAAGGCCUUCGGGUUGUAAACUCCUUUCGCUAGGGACGAAGCUUUUUUGUGACGGUACCUAGAUAAGAAGCACCGGCUAACUACGUGCCAGCAGCCGCGGUAAUACGUAGGGUGCGAGCGUUGUCCGGAAUUACUGGGCGUAAAGGGCUCGUAGGUGGUUUGUCGCGUCGUCUGUGAAAUUCUGGGGCUUAACUCCGGGCGUGCAGGCGAUACGGGCGUAACUUGAGUGCUGUAGGGGUAACUGGAAUUCCUGGUGUAGCGGUGAAAUGCGCAGAUAUCAGGAGGAACACCGAUGGCGAAGGCAGGUUACUGGGCAGUUACUGACGCUGAGGAGCGAAAGCAUGGGUAGCGAACAGGAUUAGAUACCUGGUAGUCCAUGCCGUAAACGGUGGGCGCUAGGUGUGAGGGUCUUUCUACGACUUUCGUGCCGUAGCUAACGCAUUAAGCGCCCCGCCUGGGGAGUACGCCGCAAGGCUA